rnacentral:rRNA from 1 species
UCGGGAUAGCACCUGGAAACAGAUGCUAAUACCGGAUAACAACAGAUGAUGCCUAUCAACUGUUUAAAAGAUGGUUCUGCUAUCACUCUUGGAUGGACCUGCGGUGCAUUAGCUAGUUGGUAGGGUAACGGCCUACCAAGGCGAUGAUGCAUAGCCGAGUUGAGAGACUGAUCGGCCACAUUGGGACUGAGACACGGCCCAAACUCCUACGGGAGGCAGCAGUG